UCAUAAGGCCACACUGUCCUGUAAGUGCCCGAUCCCACCUGAUCUUGGAAACUAAGCAGGGCCAUGCCUGAUUAGUACUUCGAUGGGAGACUACUAUGGAAGACCAGGAGCUGUUAGCC
rnacentral:rRNA from 12 species